rnacentral:rRNA from 1 species
UACAGAGGUGGCAAGCGUUGUUCGGAAUUACUGGGCGUAAAGGGCGCGUAGGCGGCCUUCUAAGUCGGACGUGAAAUCCCCAGGCUUAACUUGGGAACUGCGUCUGAUACUGGAAGGCUUGAGUGCGGGAGAGGGAUGUGGAAUUCCAGGUGUAGCGGUGAAAUGCGUAGAUAUCUGGAGGAACACCGGUGGCGAAGGCGGCAUCCUGGACCGACACUGACGCUGAGGCGCGAAAGCCAGGGGAGCAAGCGGG